GAGCAGGAUUAACAACACAGGUAGCUCUCUUAUCCAAGUAAUAAGAGGGUCCACUACUUCUGAAUCACAUCCAUCUGGUUGCCACAUUCCUUUUCUAGAAAAAAGCAUUUCUUCAAUUGCAGUAAGGCAAGCCAAUUUUNGAUUGCAAUCAAGGAAUGUCUUUGUAAAUGCCUUUAGAAGGCGAGACUUCCAGUUGCCUAUCACAUGUGCUACAAGUUUUGGGAUAAAAUGAACUAGUGUAAGUAUCUGCUUUUCUCUAACUGCUCUGCCAGACCUUGUUUCACUGUGGAUCUUUUCAAGCAGUGCAUGC
rnacentral:misc_RNA from 1 species